UGGGGGAUAUUGCACAACGGGCGAAAGCCUGAUGCAGCGACGCCGCGUGGGGGAUGACGGCUUUCGGGUUGUAAACCUCUUUCGCUAUCGAACAAGGCCCGCUUAGGGUGGUUUGAGGGUAGUUGGAGAAGAAGCGCCGGCUAACUACGUGCCAGCAGCCGCGGUAAUACGUAGGGCGCGAGCGUUGUCCGGAAUUUUUGGGCGUAAAGGGCUUGUAUGCGGCUUGUUGCGCCUGCUGUGAAAACGCGGGGCUUAACUUCGCGCGUGCAGUGGGUACGGGCAGGCUGGAGUGUGGUAGGGGUGACUGGAAUUCCAGGUGUAGCGGUAGAAUGCGCAGAUAUCUGGAGGAGGACCGAUGGCGAAGGCAGGUCACUGGGCCAUUACUGACGAUGAGGAGCGAAAGCAUGGGUAGCGAAGAGG
rnacentral:rRNA from 1 species